rnacentral:lncRNA from 1 species
AGAGACUGCAGGAUGGAUCUCGGAGAAGACGGCUCCUGCUGGGCCUCUAAGGCAACCAUGUAUAGACAUCCACAAUCUUCAGUCUCCUGAUCU